rnacentral:rRNA from 1 species
CACAGGUGCUGCAUGGCUGUCGUCAGCUCGUGUCGUGAGAUGUUGGGUUAAGUCCCGCAACGAGCGCAACCCUUGUCAUUAGUUGCCAUCAUUUAGUUGGGCACUCUAAUGAGACUGCCGGUGACAAACCGGAGGAAGGUGGGGAUGACGUCAAGUCCUCAUGGCCCUUAUGGGUAGGGCUUCACACGUCAUACAAUGGUCGGUACAGAGGGUCGCUAACCCGCGAGGGGGUGCCAAUCUCAGAAAGCCGAUCGUAGUCCGGAUCGUAGUCUGCAACUCGACUACGUGAAGUCGGAAUCGCUAGUAAUCGCGGAUCAGAAUGCCGCGGUGAAUACGUUCCCGGGUCUUGUACACACCGCCCGUCACACCAUGGGAGUGGGUUUCACCAGAAGUAGCUAGCCUAACCGUAAGGGGGGCGGUUACCACGGUGAGAUUCAUGACUGGGGUGAAGUCGUAACAAGGUAGCCGUACCGGAAGG